CAUCAAGGACCCACAAGGCCUUAUACAAAGUAGGGGAUUCUGGGAUGCAAAAUAGAAGGCGGGCAGACAGAACAAUUUCCAUGAUAUAGGAGCCCAGUCUUUCCUGAAGGAGGGCAGGAAGAGUACACUCUUCUAAGCCUCAUUGCAAUUUCUGGUACAAAUUUAGGAGUGAUUAUCUGGGCAAGCAAUUUGGAUCAUAUAGGAAGACAGCAGGGGUUAUUAGUAACCUGAAUUUGCUCACUGGAUGAAGGCAAAGCAAGCUAACAUAACAUAUUCUACACUUUCUCACAAAGGAGACUGUAAGCAGAGUGCUUUAGCAAGACAUCUGACCACAACUGCCUGGCUGUUCUAGUCGUUAAGACAUAGAGAUGGAAGACUGGGGCGUAGCUCAACUGACAGACAUCUAUUGGAAAAGGCAGACAGACUCCUGGCUCUCCAGAAUUGGAUAUCCAAGAAAUGUAGAAGAACAGAGUUUGGAAAGCCAUCUCUUCUUGUCCUCAUCUUUACUAUGUGUGGGUGAUACACUGUAGACUACUUGGCCAGACUCAAUUUCUUGCUUCCUUCGUUGCUAAUGUUCGAAGGAGGAGGACUGGAGUUCGAAUGCAUUUGGAAUUAUGCAAAUGAAUCACUGAAGCGUCCCGUUGUGCUCUUUCCCCACAGAAUGCUGGAUUUGCUUAUUAAUCAUGAAGAGCGAAGGAAGACUAUGCAGUGUCUAGUGUGAUCCGGUUAUCGUGGACGACAUAAAGACAGCCAAGAUACGGCAGAUACUGUUUUGAUCAUUUCUGUCCAUUUGUCUUUUUAUACCCAAAGGAAAGGUAUUUUAAGAAUCACUGUUACUUGUUUCAAAUCUUUUCUCUUUACCCGUCUUUUCUUCCAUACUUGGCAUUAGAAAGGCUUUGAAGGUCAGAGAGAGGAAGGCUUUAAUGGUAACAGAUGAGUUCUGACAGUCAAGAACUUUUAAGUGGAAAGCCUUGCCCAGCAGCAAACAGAUGCUGUGAUGGACAGCAGCUGGACUGGGCUCCCAGUCUCUGCAUCUGUCUGACGUAAGCACUCCUCUAUUAUCAAGUAGCUAGGCCUUGGGAGUAUAAUAUACAUCAGCUGAGGUGACUUUUUAAUUAAAAAUUCUUAACAUUCUUUCUUUCAGAUAAACACAAUAUUUUGAUGUCAUUCUGAAAUAUUUGCCUUUAUUCAGUUAGGGCAGAUUCCUCAUUAAAUGCU